AUACGUAGGGUGCAAGCGUUAAUCGGAAUUACUGGGCGUAAAGCGCUCGUAGGCGGCUUGUUAAGUCGGAUGUGAAAGCCGCGGGCUCAACCUGGGAACUGCAUUCGAUACUGGCAAACUAGAGUAUAGUAGAGGCAAGUGGAAUUCCGGGUGUAGCGGUGAAAUGCGUAGAUAUCCGGAGGAACAUCAGUGGCGAAGGCGACUUGCUGGACUAAUACUGACGCUGAGGAGCGAAAGCGUGGGGAGCAAACGGGAUUAGAAACCCCGGUAGUCC
rnacentral:rRNA from 1 species